GGACGAACGCUGGCGGCGCGCCUAACACAUGCAAGUCGAACGAGCGAGAGAGAGCUUGCUUCNCGAGCGAGUGGCGAACGGGUGAGUAACGCGUGAGGAACCUGCCUCAAAGAGGGGGACAACAGUUGGAAACGACUGCUAAUACCGCAUAAGCCCACGACCCGGCAUCGGGGUAGAGGGAAAAGGAGCAAUCCGCUUUGAGAUGGCCUCGCGUCCGAUUAGCUAGUUGGUGAGGUAACGGCCCACCAAGGCGACGAUCGGUAGCCGGACUGAGAGGUUGAACGGCCACAUUGGGACUGAGACACGGCCCAGACUCCUACGGGAGGCAGCAGUGGGGAAUAUUGCACAAUGGGGGAAACCCUGAUGCAGCGACGCCGCGUGGAGGAAGAAGGUCUUCGGAUUGUAAACUCCUGUUGUUGAGGAAGAUAAUGACGGUACUCAACAAGGAAGUGACGGCUAACUACGUG
rnacentral:rRNA from 1 species